rnacentral:misc_RNA from 1 species
AAUGUGUGAAGCCCAUUUCUGGUGUCCCCUGCCGUGAUAUAAACUUAAAUAAAAAAACAUCCAGGGAUUUAUCUAGCUCUUCCCAGAAGCAGAUAUUUGGUCGUUUCUACAGCAAAAUGUUUUAACAUUUAAAUGUAGGAAGUAAGAGCUGUCAUAAUUAUGGUUAAGUUUAAACUUUGGAAAUAACCUUAUUCAUGAGUUAAUUAAUAUAAAUAAUAUCAUUGUUUUCUCUCAAUUUGCCUGUGACAUGCAUUUUGUUUAUUUUCCAACAUAAACAUGUUUAGAAACCCCCGAUACCACGCAUGAGUCUUUCUGCCAUACACUUAUUGUUCACCACUGUUAUCAUGCUUCGAUGAACGCAACAUGUUGAAAGGCGAAAUAACUUGAACUGAUGAAUAAGCAGGCAGCUGAACAUGGAGAAUACAGCAUUAUGAUAACAGGUGUUAGCUAUCAUGGUUAUCUCUGUAUGUGGACCAAUGUGUGCUGGAUGAUAACAGUAUCACAUGGACACACGUGUGAUACUGUGUUAGUACACAGAUUGCUGUCUACAGGCACCUGCAGCACAUCAGUGACAAGUACAAAGCUGAGAAGACAAAUCCCACUGCAGGACUGGGGGACAUAUUUCCUGUCUGAAAAGAGACUGUGAUAUUUGGACGUUGCUGAAAGAGUCCCAACAGCCAUUGUGCCUUCCUUCAGCUGCCUUGUUUCACAUGCCUGGUUUCACCUUCUACUUCCAAUUGUCAUGGAAACUAGUCCCUCAAGGAUGAAGUCACUAGCGUUUUGUUUUUCAUAGAGCUAUGAAAGUCCAACUAGCCAUUUGUUUUAUAAGUAGACACAAAAGGAAAACAUCGUGAUGAGGAAGUAGUUUUUUCUGACUUUUUUAGAGGAAUUAUAUCAAGUGGACGGAAUAAUAGUCAUUCAGAUUCUCUUUGUGUAAUUGUUGCUCAAGUACCAAAGUUCUGUAUUCAGCAGUAAACAAGGAAGUUUCACAGUUUAGUUCUGUGGUGCAGCUUUAUGUCUUUGAGAGACUGAUUGUGAUUCCAUUGAUGCUAAAUUAUAAUAAGGGUUUGAAUUAUUUUGACUUUUCAUCAAUGAAUUGUUAACUGCACUUUUGACCUGUCAAAUUUGUCAUCAAAGAACCUAGUUCUAGUUUGUUAAAGGACCGGUUUAUAUUAUGCAAACUGUUUCCAUGAUGAAUUUGGUUGUGUUGGUGUGUGUGUUGAUGAUGCUGACAAUGGUGUCAGGCUACAAACAUGUCGUCUUCAUGCAUGGCAUUUUGGCUGGACCUUCCGAAUUUGACAAGUUUGCACAGCAGAUCAAAAUCGAUCACCCUGGUACCAACACAACACAGAUCAAUGCUUUUGUGGACGUGUACAGUCUGGAACCGAUGUGGAACCAGGUGGAGAAGAUUCAAAUCUUGUUCACUCAGAUUAUGGCAGACAACCCUGAUGGCAUCCAUCUUGUCUGUUUCUCUCAGGGUGGCUUGGUGUGUCGUGGUCUGAUGUCCAUGCUGCAACACAAUGUGGACACCUUCAUCGGUCUCAGCUGCCCCUUGGCUGGCCAGUAUGGAGACACCGACUACCUCAAGUACCUUUUCCCAAACUAUGUCAAGUCAAAUAUUUACAGAUAUUUCUACACUGACAUGGGGCAAAGAUGGUCUGUUGCAAACUAUUGGUAUGAUCCACAUCAUCAAGAUGAAUACCGCAAGUUCUCCGAAUAUCUGGCCGUCCUCAACAAUGACACUAUUAAUGGACAAAGUCAAACUUUCAAGGAGAACUUCUCUCGUUUGAAGAAGAUGGUGCUUGUUGGGGGUCCAGAUGACGGUGUGAUCACCCCCUGGCAAUCUAGUCAUUUUGGAAUGUACAACGGCAGUGAUGUGGUCCUCCCAAUGCAAGAACAGAGGUGGUACAGAGAGGACAGCUUUGGACUGCGCACACUGUACGAACGGAAGGCAAUUACGACCUUCACCUACAGCGGGAUUCCACAUAUCAAGUGGCACACCAACAUGGAUGUCUACAAGAAGAGUGUGGAACCAUUCCUCACAUAGACUGUGUGGGGAGCGUGAUUGUUGCCUGCGCCUUGUGUCUUGAUGUCUUCAAAAACAGUGAGUGUGGAACCAUUCCUCACAUAGACUGUGUGGGGAGUGUGAUUGUUGCCUGCGCCUUGUGUCUUGAUGUCUACAAAAACAGUGAGUGUGGAACCAUUCCUCACAUAGACUGUGUGGGGAGUGUGAUUGUUGUCUGCGCCUUGUGUCUUGAUGUCUACAAAAACAGUGACUGUGGAACCAUUCCUCACAUGGAUAGUGUGAGGAGUUUGACAGCAAUCUUCACCAUGUGUAUCGAUUUCUACAAGAAGAAUGUGGAACCUUUCCUCACAUGGACAGUGUGUGGAGUUUGACAGCAAUCUUCACCAUGUGUAUCGAUUUCUACAAGAAGAAUGUGGAACCUUUCCUCACAUGGACAGUGUGUGGAGUUUUAUCAUUGCCUUUACCUUGUAUGUCAAUAUGUACAAGUUGAGUGUGUAACAAUACCUCACAUAGUCAGUGUAUGGGAUCUGACGACCUAUUGGUACUGUGUCUAUAUUUAUUGCAGUUGAAAUAUGAAACUAGGAAAAUAUGUUGUCACGUAAGGGACGUGUCGGAUAUUGAUUUUCAAGAGGUAUUCUCUGCAUCACAUGUUUUUACUUUGCUUCUAUUUGAUUGUUUUAUACUGUGAUUUUGUUACAGCUAAACCAUUUUAUCUAAGGUUACGAUAUUUUGAUGUGUGCAAAAUGAAACAUUUUUUCGUGUUUAAGGGACAUUUUCAUACUAAUAAAAAAUACAGCUCAAUUUCAAACAGUUGAAUUAAAGUGCUUGCACACUGUUUUCAGUCAAGUAGUAAAUGUGUUGAAAAUCCCUGGAGACUGCAUGUAUUAAGAAGAAUUAACUUGACAAGCGUAAAUUAUUUUAUUGUGUUUUCUGGAACUGAGAUAUUUUUCAUAUCAUAGCAUGUUUUAGUGUAUUUUAUUUAUACUGUGAAUGUUGCUUUUACACGUUUGUAGUAAGUUGAUUUUAAUCAUAAUUUGUCAAUAUUUUUAAUGUGUACAGGAAUUGACAAGUAGCAUGUUUCAUGAGAUAUAUUCAGUCUAAAGCUGUUGAUUUUUUGUUUGAAUUUAAUUGAGAAUUUAAGAGUUUGUUUUAAUCAUACCUGUGGUAGUCACUGAAUUCAGAUCAAUAGUAUAACUAUGACAUUUAUAAUGUUCAUGCAUUAAUCCAAUGCAGAACACUCUUUUAAAAAGAGAUUUCUACAUUGGUGUUAUACAUGCAAAGUUAUUGAUUGUCGAUUGUUGAAUUUUUCCUCUGAUGUUUUUACAAUAAUUUGAUGUGAAGCUUUGUUGCCUAAUUAUUAUGGGUUUUUGUCGACAUUUAAAGAAUGUUUUCCUGCUACAGAGAAGCUCGUUUAAAUCAGAAAGUUAGUAAACAGUGUUAGUAAAAUGAACACAUUUCCAACGGGCACCAUCCAGAAAGAAGAUAUUCUGAAUAAUAGGAUCAAAACAAAUAGAGCUUCACUGUAGAAAGGGUUUCAUCCUUGGAAAGUAAGAGGUACUUCAGUGUCAAAAGAUGUGUCUUCCAAGUGGUGGGCUUUAUGUGAUAUGAAUACCGGUACUAUGCAAUCCAAGGGACAUCACUUGUGUCAGCUAGCCAGGACAACAUGCAGAUUUGUCUCAGGGGCCAAGGAGAGUUUUGAAGAGCAGAGAAUAUCAACCAAUUUUACCAAGCAGAGUAUAGGUCCUGUGCUUCAACAUGUUUCUGGUAUGUUUGGAGGAUAUAUCAGCAAUGUUUCUGGUAUAUAUCUAGGAUAUAUCAGCAAUGUUUCUGGUAUAUAUCUAGGAUAUAUCAGCUAGGUUUGUGAUAUAUAUCUCUGUUAUAUCAGCUAGGUUUCUGGUACAUAUCUAGGUUACUAGGUCAACUAUAUAGCAAGUUGUAUAGGUUUCUGCUAUACAUACUCAUAGAAAUGAAUAAGGGAACACAUGAAAAUACAAGUGUUCCUUUAGUUAUUUCCAGAAUUUCAUCCACAGUGCAAUACAUGCCUUGUAAAGAAACCUGGAAAAGAAUAAAGGAACACUUGUA